CCUACGGGAGGCAGCAGUGGGGAAUAUUGGACAAUGGGCGAAAGCCUGAUCCAGCAAUGCCGCGUGAGUGAUGAAGGCCUUAGGGUUGUAAAGCUCUUUUACCAGGGAUGAUAAUGACAGUACCUGGAGAAUAAGCUCCGGCUAACUCCGUGCCAGCAGCCGCGGUAAUACGGAGGGAGCUAGCGUUGUUCGGAAUUACUGGGCGUAAAGCGUACGUAGGCGGUUAUUCAAGUCAGAGGUGAAAGCCUGGAGCUCAACUCCAGAACUGCCUUUGAAACUAGAUAGCUAGAAUCUUGGAGAGGUGAGUGGAAUUCCGAGUGUAGAGGUGAAAUUCGUAGAUAUUCGGAAGAACACCAGUGGCGAAGGCGACUCACUGGACAAGUAUUGACGCUGAGGUACGAAAGCGUGGGGAGCAAACAGGAUUAGAUACCCUGGUAGUCCACGCCGUAAACGAUGAUAACUAGCUGUUCGGGCUCUACGAGCUUGAGUGGCGCAGCUAACGCAUUAAGUUAUCCGCCUGGGGAGUACGGUCGCAAGAUUAAAACUCAAAGGAUUGACGG
rnacentral:rRNA from 1 species